AGAGUUUGAUCAUGGCUCAGAUUGAACGCUGGCGGCAUGCUUUACACAUGCAAGUCGAACGGUAACAGGCCUUCGGGCGCUGACGAGUGGCGAACGGGUGAGUAAUGCAUCGGAACGUGCCCAGUCGUGGGGGAUAACGCAGCGAAAGCUGUGCUAAUACCGCAUACGAUCUGCGGAUGAAAGCGGGGGACCUUCGGGCCUCGCGCGAUUGGAGCGGCCGAUGUCAGAUUAGGUAGUUGGUGGGGUAAAGGCUCACCAAGCCAACGAUCUGUAGCUGGUCUGAGAGGACGACCAGCCACACUGGGACUGAGACACGGCCCAGACUCCUACGGGAGGCAGCAGUGGGGAAUUUUGGACAAUGGGUGCAAGCCUGAUCCAGCAUUGCCGCGUGCUUGAAGAAUGCCUUCUCGUUGUAAACUGCUUUUGUGUUGAGUGAAAAUGCUUCCUCUUCUACAGGCGGCUCAUGUCUCCCCCCCCUUCUUAGCUCCGGCUACCCACCCGCCCCUCU
rnacentral:rRNA from 1 species